rnacentral:rRNA from 2 species
AAAUUGAAGAGUUUGAUCAUGGCUCAGAUUGAACGCUGGCGGCAGGCCUAACACAUGCAAGUCGAACGGUAACAGGAAGCAGCUUGCUGCUUUGCUGACGAGUGGCGGACGGGUGAGUAAUGUCUGGGAAACUGCCUGAUGGAGGGGGAUAACUACUGGAAACGGUGGCUAAUACCGCAUAACGUCGCAAGACCAAAGAGGGGGACCUUCGGGCCUCUUGCCAUCAGAUGUGCCCAGAUGGGAUUAGCUUGUUGGUGAGGUAACGGCUCACCAAGGCGACGAUCCCUAGCUGGUCUGAGAGGAUGACCAGCCACACUGGAACUGAGACACGGUCCAGACUCCUACGGGAGGCAGCAGUGGGGAAUAUUGCACAAUGGGCGCAAGCCUGAUGCAGCCAUGCCGCGUGUAUGAAGAAGGCCUUCGGGUUGUAAAGUACUUUCAGCGGGGAGGAAGGGAGUAAGGUUAAUAACCUUAUUCAUUGACGUUACCC